GGCUAACUUACUUCCUGUAGUGCAGUGGGCUAGUAUCGCCACAUCAGAGUGGAUUCAGGAAGGGAAGAGGAACUAUGGACUCAGUGCUUACUUCCUGGAGAGCAGUGGGCUAGUAUUGCCACAUCAGAGCGGAUUCAGGAAGGGAAGAGGAACUAUGGACCCAGUGCUUACUUCCUGGAGAGCAGUGGGCUAGUAUUGCCACAUCAGAGCGGAUUCAGGAAGGGAAGAGGAACUAUGGACCCAGUGCUUACUUCCUGGAGAGCAGUGGGCUAGUAUUGCCACAUCAGAGCGGAUUCAGGAAGGGAAGAGGAACUAUGGACCCAGUGCUCUGCUUAGAAGCAGAGGUCAGGAAGGCUCAGGUGAACAAGAAGACUGUUGUAGCUGUAUUUUUUUUGAUGUGGAAGGAAGGUUUGUAAAUCAAGCUUGAUAUUAUGGGGGUAGGAGGAAGAACAUACAACUGGAUAAAGGAUUUCCUGUUUGGAAGGUCUAUCCAAGUAAGGCUGGGGAAGUCUCUCCGGCAGCUAUCUGGUGGAUAAUGGUACACCACAGGGCAGCGUGAUUAGUCCUCUGUUGUUCUCAGUCACAAUCAACAGGAAGUUCUGGGUCAGCAUUUGUAGAGCAGGAAUAUGGGGUGAAAGUCAGGAAACGUAGUACAGAUCUGGCUGUAGAUACGGUGGAAAUGAUGGCCAUACUGUUGAUGUACUGGCUAAACAAGCACUAAGUAGUGGGGAUGUUGAUGUACUGGCUAAACAAGCACUUAGUAGUGGGGAUGUUGAUGUACUGGCUAAGCAAGCACUAAGUAGUGGGGGGUGUUGAUGUGGUAGUUUCAAUGAGCAAAGCAGAGGCAAAAAGCCUGAUAUGGACCGUGAUGGUGCAGAGAUGGCAGGAGCAGUGGAAUAGAGAUACUAUUACAGGGGCUGAGUCACUGGCUUACUGGGGCUCUUACAUACCGUCCCUGGGAGGGGUGCGUCACUUGAGUGGGUUGAGUCACUGGCUUACUGGGGCUCUUUCAUACCGUCCCUCGGAGGGGUGCGUCACUUGAGUGGGCUGAGUCACUGGCUUACUGGGGCUCUUUCAUACCGUCCCUGGGAGGGGUGCGUCACUUGAGUGGGUUGAGUCACUGGCUUACUGGGGCACUUUCAUACCGUCCCUCGGAGGGGUGCAUCACU
ensembl:lncRNA